rnacentral:rRNA from 1 species
GACGAACCGUGCGACCGUUCUUCGGAAUCACUGGGCUUAAAGGGCGCGUAGGUGGUUGAUCAAGUCUGGGGUGAAAUCUUUCGGCUUAACCGGAAAAGUGCCUUGGAUACUGAUCAGCUGGAGGGAGGUAGGGGCAGUUGGAACUUCCAGUGGAGCGGUGAAAUGCGUUGAUAUUGGAAGGAACGCCGGUGGCGAAAGCGAACUGCUGGAACUCUUCUGACACUGAGGCGCGAAAGCUAGGGGAGCAAACGGG